AUUGAACGUUGGCGGCAUGCCUUACACAUGCAAGUCGAACGGUAACAGGUCUUCGGAUGCUGACGAGUGGCGAACGGGUGAGUAAUACAUCGGAACGUGCCCGAUCGUGGGGGAUAACGAAGCGAAAGCUUUGCUAAUACCGCAUACGAUCUACGGAUGAAAGCAGGGGACCGCAAGGCCUUGCGCGAACGGAGCGGCCGAUGGCAGAUUAGGUAGUUGGUGGGAUAAAAGCUUACCAAGCCGACGAUCUGUAGCUGGUCUGAGAGGACGACCAGCCACACUGGGACUGAGACACGGCCCAGACUCCUACGGGAGGCAGCAGUGGGGAAUUUUGGACAAUGGGCGAAAGCCUGAUCCAGCCAUGCCGCGUGCAGGAUGAAGGCCUUCGGGUUGUAAACUGCUUUUGUACGGAACGAAAAGACUCUGGUUAAUACCUGGGGUCCAUGACGGUACCGUAAGAAUAAGCACCGGCUAACUACGUGCCAGCAGCCGCGGUAAUACGUAGGGUGCAAGCGUUAAUCGGAAUUACUGGGCGUAAAGCGUGCGCAGGCGGUUAUAUAAGACAGAUGUGAAAUCCCCGGGCUCAACCUGGGAACUGCAUUUGUGACUGUAUAGCUAGAGUACGGCAGAGGGGGAUGGAAUUCCGCGUGUAGCAGUGAAAUGCGUAGAUAUGCGGAGGAACACCGAUGGCGAAGGCAAUCCCCUGGGCCUGUACUGACGCUCAUGCACGAAAGCGUGGGGGAGCAAACAGGAUUAGAUACCCUGGUAGUCCACGCCCUAAACGAUGUCAACUGGUUGUUGGGUCUUCACUGACUCAGUAACGAAGCUAACGCGUGAAGUUGACCGCCUGGGGAGUACGGCCGCAAGGUUGAGACUCAAAGGAAUUGACGGGGACCCGCACAAGCGGUGGAUGAUGUGGUUUAAUUCGAUGCAACGCGAAAAACCUUACCCACCUUUGACAUGUACGGAAUCCUUUAGAGAUAGAGGAGUGCUCGAAAGAGAGCCGUAACACAGGUGCUGCAUGGCUGUCGUCAGCUCGUGUCGUGAGAUGUUGGGUUAAGUCCCGCAACGAGCGCAACCCUUGCCAUUAGUUGCUACGAAAGGGCACUCUAAUGGGACUGCCGGUGACAAACCGGAGGAAGGUGGGGAUGACGUCAAGUCCUCAUGGCCCUUAUAGGUGGGGCUACACACGUCAUACAAUGGCUGGUACAGAGGGUUGCCAACCCGCGAGGGGGAGCUAAUCCCAUAAAGCCAGUCGUAGUCCGGAUCGCAGUCUGCAACUCGACUGCGUGAAGUCGGAAUCGCUAGUAAUCGCGGAUCAGAAUGUCGCGGUGAAUACGUUCCCGGGUCU
rnacentral:rRNA from 1 species